rnacentral:sRNA from 1 species
AUUUGAGUUUUCUAGGGUUCCGCAGUUUGCAGCUGGCUGGUCCGAGAGAGAACGCACAUUUAGUUGUGUACACGGAAGGAUAAAAGCCCGGGAGAU